rnacentral:misc_RNA from 1 species
UCAAACUUGGUCAUUUAGAGGAAGUAAAAGUCGUAACAAGGUCUCCGUUGGUGAACCAGCGGAGGGAUCAUUACAGAGUGUAAAAACUCCCUAAACCAUUGUAAAUCUACCUGUUCGUUGCUUCGGCAGGCGGUCCCCGGGGGGAUCGUAGCCCGCGAGGGCGCCUGCCGGAGGUAUCAAACUCUUGUUUCAACUGUUCUCUGAGCACACUAUAAAACAAAUCAAAACUUUCAACAACGGAUCUCUUGGUUUGGGCAUCGAUGAAGAACGCAGC